GAUGAACGCUGGCGGCGUGCCUAAUACAUGCAAGUCGAGCGAACAGACGAGGAGCUUGCUCCUCUGACGUUAGCGGCGGACGGGUGAGUAACACGUGGAUAACCUACCUAUAAGACUGGGAUAACUUCGGGAAACCGGAGCUAAUACCGGAUAAUAUAUUGAACCGCAUGGUUCAAUAGUGAAAGACGGUUUUGCUGUCACUUAUAGAUGGAUCCGCGCCGCAUUAGCUAGUUGGUAAGGUAACGGCUUACCAAGGCGACGAUGCGUAGCAGACCUGAGAGGGUGAUCGGCCACACUGGAACUGAGACACGGUCCAGACUCCUACGGGAGGCAGCAGUAGGGAAUCUUCCGCAAUGGGCGAAAGCCUGACGGAGCAACGCCGCGUGAGUGAUGAAGGUCUUCGGAUCGUAAAACUCUGUUAUUAGGGAAGAACAAAUGUGUAAGUAACUAUGCACGUCUUGACGGUACCUAAUCAGAAAGCCACGGCUAACUACGUG
rnacentral:rRNA from 1 species